rnacentral:rRNA from 1 species
AGGGCAUACGGUGGAUGCCUAGGCGCCAGGAGCCGAAGAAGGACGCGGUAAGCUGCGAAAAGCCACGGGGAACUGCAAGCGAGUAUUGAUCCGUGGAUAUCCGAAUGGGGAAACCCGGCCAUCGUAAUGGAUGGUCAUCCGCAAGGAAGGGAACCCGGGGAACUGAAACAUCUAAGUACCCGGAGGAAAAGAAAUCAAACGAGAUGCCCACAGUAGCGGCGAGCGAAGAGGGCAGAGCCCAAACCUGUAAGCUACGGCUUAUAGGGGUUGAGGACUGACGGAAUUAAGGCCAGGCUUAGCUGAACUACCUGGGAAGGUAGGCGAUAGAAGGUAAGAGCCCUGUAAGCGAAAGGCAGAGCCUUAAGGUCAGUAUCCAGAGUACCACGGAGCACGAGGAAUUCUGUGGGAAGCAGGGGGGACCACCCUCCAAGGCUAAAGACUAACUGGCGACCGAUAGCGCAUAGUACCGUGAGGGAAAGGUGAAAAGAACCCCGGGAGGGGAGUGAAAUAGUACCUGAAACCGUAUGUCUACAAGCAGUCGGAGCGAAAGCGACGGCGUGCCUAUUGAAGAAUGAACCAACGAGUUAUCUGCACUAGCGAGGUUAAGUGGAAGACACGGAGCCGUAGCGAAAGCGAGUCUGAAAAGGGCGGCGAGUUAGUGUAGGUAGACCCGAAACCGCAGUGAUCUACCCAUGUCCAGGUUGAAGCGCAGGUAAAAAUGCGUGGAGGACCGAACCGGUGAGCGUUGAAAAGCUUUCGGAUGAGAUGUGGGUAGGGGUGAAAUUCCAAUCGAACGCGGAGAUAGCUGGUUCUCCCCGAAAUAGCUUUAGGGCUAGCCUCAGGUAGUAAGUAUAGGCGGUAGAGCACUGAUCGGGCUAGGGGCCAUAAAGGUUACCGAACCCUGUCAAACUCCGAAUGGAUAUACUGCAGAGCCUGGGAGUCAGACUACGAGUGAUAAGAUCCGUGGUCAAAAGGGAAACAGCCCAGACCACCGGCUAAGGUCCCAAAUGCCGUACUAAGUGGAAAAGGAUGUGGGGAUUCAUAAACAACCAGGAUGUUGGCUCAGAAGCAGCCACCAUUUAAAGAGUGCGUAAUAGCUCACUGGUCGAGAGUCCCUGCGCCGAAAAUUUCCGGGGCUAAAGUACGGAACCGAAGCCGUGGCUGUGCAUGUAAGUGCACGGGGUAGGGGAGCGUUGCCACAGGGGUGAAGCUGGUCUGGAAGGACUGGUGGACUUGUGGGAAGUGAGAAUGUUGGUAUGAGUAGCGAAAAGAAAGGUGAGAAUCCUUUCCACCGAAAGCAUAAGGAUUCCUGAGCAACGAUCGUCGUCUCAGGGUAAGUCGGGGCCUAAUCCGAGGCAAAGAGCGUAGGAGAUGGACAACAGGUUGAUAUUCCUGUACCGGCAGCAAUUGUUUGAGCGAAGGAGUGACACAGAAGGGCAGGCAGGCGCGAGACUGGAUUGUCGCGUGCAAGCGUGUAGGGUAGUGUACAGGCAAAUCCGUACACUAAGAGCCUGAGGCGUUACGCGGAGCGAGCAGAGAUGCGAGCGAAGCUGCUGAUCCCACACUGUCGAGAAAAGCUUCUAGUGAGAGAGCUGCCGCCCGUACCGUAAACCGACACAGGUGGAUGCGGGGAGAGAAUCCUAAGGUGCGCGGGAGAACCCUCGUUAAGGAACUCGGCAAAAUGUACCCGUAACUUCGGGAUAAGGGUAGCCGUCUUGGUGAAGGAACUAGCUUCCGGAGCUGAAGGCGGUCGCAGAGAAGAGGCCCAAGCGACUGUUUACCACAAACACAGGUGCCUGCUAAAGCGAAAGCUGACGUAUAGGUGCUGACACCUGCCCAGUGCUGGAAGGUUAAGGAAGGAUGUCCGGGCAACCAAAGCAUUCGACCGAAGCCCCAGUGAACGGCGGCCGUAACUAUAACGGUCCUAAGGUAGCGAAAUUCCUUGUCGGGUAAGUUCCGACCCGCACGAAAGGUGUAACGAUUUGGGCACUGUCUCAACGAGGGACCCGGUGAAAUUGAAAUACCUGUGAAGAUGCAGGUUACCCGCGACUGGACAGAAAGACCCCAUGGAGCUUUACUGUAACCUGACAUUGGGUUUUGUUGUAUUACGUACAGGAUAGGUGGGAGGCUUAGAAGGCUGGACGCUAGUCUGGCUGGAGCCGUCGUUGGGAUACCACCCUUGAUACAACGGAAUUCUAACCGAGAGAGUAACGAAAUCCGGGACAGUGUCAGGCGGGCAGUUUGACUGGGGCGGUCGCCUCCGAAAGAGUAACGGAGGCGCCCAAAGGUUCCCUCAGCGCGGCCGGAAAUCGCGCGAAGAGUGUAAAGGCAGAAGGGAGCUUGACUGCGAGCCAAACACGGCGAGCAGGUACGAAAGUAGGGCUUAGUGAUCCGGUGGUACCGAGUGGAAGGGCCAUCG